CCUGAACCGCGUCGUUUUGAAUCAAACAAUUUUCACUUCAGAACUCCCCUAAUUGAAACCCUAAAACAGCCGAGCUUUACCCUCAAUCACAGAUUACAACAGCAAUAAAUCCUGACUGUAAUCGACGAAAUUUUUACCGCUGCACUUCAAUUGGAGUUCAUAGAAGAUGUCGACGAUUUACGUUUUGGAGCCGCCGACGAAGGGGAAGGUGAUAAUAACCACGUCGUACGGUCCACUGGACAUCGAGCUCUGGCCCAAGGAGGCGCCCAAGGCCGUCCGCAACUUCGUACAGCUGUGUCUCGAAGGCUACUACGACGACACCGUUUUCCACCGAGUCAUUAAGUCAUUUCUCGUUCAAGGAGGUGAUCCCACCGGCACCGGUGAAGGCGGUCAGAGUAUAUAUGGCGGUGUUUUUCCCGAUGAAUUUCAUUCUCGUCUAAGAUUCAAGCACAGGGGUUUGCUUGCAUGUGCGAGUGCUGGCACACCUAAUACAAAUGGUAGCCAGUUCUUUAUGACCUUGGAUCGUUGUGACUGGCUUGACAAGAAGCAUACAAUAUUUGGAAAAGUAACUGGAGAUUCAAUUUAUAAUCUGUUACAGUUAGGGGAAGUAGAGACUGGUAAAGAUGAUAGGCCUCUGGACCCACUUCCGAAAAUACUUUCUGUUGAGGUGUUAUGGAAUCCGUUUGAUGACAUCAUCCCAAGGAGAAUGCAGGCAAAGUCUUUACCAUCCUUGGAAAAGAAAGAAACACAGCAGAAGGUUACCAAAAAGUUGAACUUGCUUUCAUUUGGUGAAGAAGCUGAAGAAGAGGAGAAGGAACUCGCAGCUGUCAAUACUAGAAUAAGAAGUAGUCAUGAUGUUUUGAAUGACCCCCGCCUCCUGAAGGAAGACCUUGACAAUGAUCUGAACUCAGCUCAAGGCCAAAAAUCAAAGGAUGCGCAAUUAAUGGUGAGAGAAGCUCUAAGCUCAAAGAAAGAGCAUCGAGAAGAAUUAGGAGGUGGAUUAUCUGAGUCUCCUGAUAAUAGUGAUGAAGAUGACGGUAACUUCGAUGCCCGAAUGCGGCAGCAGAUACUAAAAAGAAGAAAAGAGCUUGGGGACCUACCAAAUAAGAAAGAAUUGCCUGAUGAUGCGCAUGUAGGUUCACGGAAACGCACAGGAUCUCCACCAAGGUCAAAUGUGGACAACCGUAAUGAAAGGCCAAAAGCGACUAAACUGUCGUUGAAGAAAAAAGGAAUAGGCUCCGAAGCCAGGGCUGAACGUAUGGCUAAUGCAGACGCUGAUUUACAGUUGCUUGGAGAAGCAGAACGAGAAAGACAGCUGCAGAAGCAGAAACGACGCAGGCGUCAGGGGCAAGAAGAUGAGAUUCUAGCGAAACUUCAGAAUUUCAAGUCAGCCGUCUCAGCCAAAGCUGAAGGAUCAAGUGGUGCUAAGGAUGAUGAUUUGUCAGAUUGGAUGGGAGUUGAGCUAAAGUUUGCUCCUGAGCAUGGCAAGGUAAUAUUGUAUUUAUUGCAUGUAGGUUUUGGACUAUUCUACAGAAACACAGAAAUUAACACUGCGUUUUGGACUAUUCUACAGAAUAAUAUGUCGCGCAGCAACGAUCCGAAUGACUACGUAGUGCAUGACCCUCUUCUGGAGAAAGGAAAAGAGAAGUUCAACAAAAUGCAGGCAAAGGAAAAGCGCAGACAACGAGAAUGGGCCGGAAAGUCUCUUACUUGAACUAAUUUAAGCUUCUUAAAAUAAACAUUUGAAAACAGCUUCUCACACAAUUUUCCGAACAAAGGUUAAGUUUUUCAGAGUAUCAGCCUCGUUUGUGUUUAUGCUCAUGAACUGUGCAAGAUGUACACAUAUACGCCAUCAAUUGGACAUGUUAAAUACGUAUUUAAUACUGUUUGUGCAUAUGAUUUUAUAUGUUUUUUUUUAGAUAGUUGCUAAUGCAAGAUUUUGCAGCUUCAAUAUUCUCUCUCCUCCAAUUAGGUGUUUUAUAUCCACCAGCAGCCAUGUGGCUAGUUUGUCACUACAUGAAUGUAAGUGUCACAUGAUAUUGAAUUAAACAAGAGGGCAGAAUCUGGAUCAUGAACUUGGCAGAAUGCACAUGGUUUUCAUUGACUAUUUCAUGUCUGUCAUAUAUAUAUAUAUAUAUAUAUACUGUAUGUAUAUAUAUAUAUAUAUACUGUAUGUAUCUUUGAGUUCUCCCAUUGUGUGCUAUUGAUAGCUGUUACCGCGUGGAGCAAAGAACAUACUCUCAAAUCUCAAUACAGCAUAUGUCUGGAAAAGCAUAUAGCAAUAAGCAAUUUGGUCUCCACUUGGAAUCACCAUUUCGAAAUGCGCAUUUGAGUUUGUUCAAAUUGUAGAAAUUCAUAGGAAGGAGUGAAAACUUUGACUUUUCAUUUCGUAAUUGGAAAUUGGUUUGUUAACAAUUUGUUGGAAUUGGCUUCUUUAAAACAUUUUUUUUUUUCA